rnacentral:rRNA from 1 species
AGCGAACGCUGGCGGCAGGCUUAACACAUGCAAGUCGAGCGGGCAUAGCAAUAUGUCAGCGGCAGACGGGUGAGUAACGCGUGGUAACGUACCUUUUGGUUCGGAACAACUGAGGGAAACUUCAGCUAAUACCGGAUAAGCCCUUACGGGGAAAGAUUUAUCGCCGAAAGAUCGGCCCGCGUCUGAUUAGCUAGUUGGUGAGGUAAUGGCUCACCUAGGCGACGAUCAGUAGCUGGUCUGAGAGGAUGAUCAGCCACAUUGGGACUGAGACACGGCCCAAGCUCCUACGGGAGGGAGCAGUGGGGAGUAUUGGGCAAUGGGCGCAGGCCUGGUACAGCCAUGCCGCGUGAGAGAUCAAGGCCCUAGGGUUGUAAAGCUCUUUUGUGCGGGAAGAUAAUGACGGUACCGAAAGAAUAAGCCCCGGCUAACUUCGUG